GACGAACGCUGGCGGCGUGCUUAACACAUGCAAGUCGAGCGGUAAGGCCCUUUCGGGGGUACACGAGCGGCGAACGGGUGAGUAACACGUGGGUGACCUGCCCUCAGCUCUGGGAUAAGCCUGGGAAACUGGGUCUAAUACUGGAUAUGACUCCACGGUGCAUGUCGUGGGGUGGAAAGCCUUGUGCGGCUGAGGAUGGGCCCGCGGCCUGUCAGCUUGUUGGUGGGGUGANGGCCUACCAAGGCGACGACGGGUAGCCGGCCUGAGAGGGCGACCGGCCACACUGGGACUGAGACACGGCCCAGACUCCUACGGGAGGCAGCAGUGGGGAAUCUUGCGCAAUGGGCGAAAGCCUGACGCAGCGACGCCGCGUGAGGGAUGACGGCCUCGGUU
rnacentral:rRNA from 1 species